CUGUGUUCCAGCUGAGCAACAAACACCUCAGCCUGUCUCCCUAUAGGCUGUAUGGAGAAGCGUGAGCUCUGGCUACGAUUGGAGAUCUGUGAGAUAUUCUGGUUUUGAACUGCCCGUGGGGAAGAAUAUACAUUCCACAGGGAGAAAACUGCCUCAGAGACUCUGACAGGAAAAGAAUCUAAAUGUUGGAUUAACACUCACCCUGCCUCAGCCUUCAGUUUUCCUCCUGCUGUGUCCACUUAAAAUGGAGUCUGAACUCCUGAACUUUCAGUUUCAGGUUGAACAGGGAGGGCCUGUUGUCACCUGAUCACAUGCCCAGUGUUGCUCCUUCCCUCUCCAUUUACAGGAAACAGCUAAAGUGAAAACUGUCUGUCUUUAGUAACUGUUUAGCUUAAUUUAAAAUAUGGCACAUUAUAUAAACCCAGCUGGUGGAGACAGAGCAGCCCUCCUCUCUACCAGCUGAAGCAG